rnacentral:lncRNA from 1 species
AAGGUUGGCAGCUACUCGUCAUGCAUCUCAUGAAGAAAGAGUGAGGCAGAAAGUAGAGCAUUAAAAAACACUCGAUAGAGAUAGAGCUCAACAACACUUGAUAAAAAUUUCAACAAGUUUGAGAGAUUUUUGUACCCUAUCCUUUUGGGUUUGACCCCAACCUAGUUGGGUUACUAUAUUUUGAAUUCGACCGCUUUAUACUUUUGGAGGUAUAGUU